ensembl:lncRNA
CUUUGUUCCUGCCGACUUCAGAAGCGUCACAGCCGCCCGUACCGUCGCCUCCUACGAAGACGUCCUAAUCAUACGCACACACACACACACACACACACACACACUUUGCGUGUGCGAGCGCUUGCUUUCAGAGCGCCACGCAGAGCGAGAGGGUCAAAGGUCAAGGCAAAGCCUGAAGGGGAUUGAAUAAUCGCUCAUUGUCAUCAAGGUGAAAGACGGACAUGCGUGUAAUAUGAAGGCUCGAACAUGAGGACGUGUGAUUGACAUUCUACAGACGAAGCAGUGGGACAAUUAAGCUGACGUCUCUGGCGGCUCGGACGGGGAUUAACGUCCAAUUUGCCGCUCUCUUCCUGGGCUCAGGUCUGUCCCAACAGCUCGGCACUUCAAAGGGGGCAGAUGUGAGGGCAGAGGAGGGUCGGCCAUUCUUCGCGGGGCAAUCGGCUUAGUCGAGCUCUGUUUAAAAUGGCAGCAGCACAAAAAAGGUGAAAGCUGUUUUGAUGUGCUGCGGAGUGUGAGGGGUCGGGCCAGCUGUACAGUAGCCCCCCCGCCCCCCCCCCCCAACAUGAGACCAUGCGCGGGCUUGUUCCCUUUGCCCGCCUGCAUCUCUGGGGAUCAAUCGGGAUUAAAAAGGUCUCAACACGCUCUUCUCCCACCGAGUGUAGAAAACAAGCAGCAACAAGUCAGUGGGGAGCACUCGCCUCAGGUUGAGGGGAACCAGCGUAAACAAACACUGCUGGAGGGUCCGAGAGGCGAUAAUUCUC